rnacentral:sRNA from 1 species
CCCAAUUCAGUUUGUAAUUUGACUCCGUGCCUGGCUGGGAAGAAGUUCUUCCUAGGAGAACCUGGGGCUACAUUUGUUGGCCGAAAUGGAGCUGAAAUGCAAAUCAAACAAGAGCACAAGCGAGCAAGCAGUAGCAUAAAAUGGAAUGAGUGCAGGUCCGUUCUUUUCAACCUCUGGGGAAAUGACCCUGCCAAUUCAGAAACCCGCAAGAGUUCCUGGCCUAGAGAGUGUUUUCACACAUUAAAACAGAAAUUCAGAUUUUAAUUAACCCAGUGAAUUUUUCUGAAAAUAUGCUCCCUGGAACGCAACUAAGUCGUGCUUAUGAUAAAGAUGUGGCUGGAAAGGGAGAUGUCUACCGUUUUCUGAAUAAAACAUAAGAUUUUGCCAUCGAUGCAAGUUCUGGUGUAAUCACUGCUACCAAAAUUUUUAAUUGUGAAACAGAUCCAAUAAGGUUUCUUCUGACAGUUGAUACUGGGAGGCUCUAUAGACAUGUUUUGACCAUUAAUAUUAUUGAUGUUCCCGAAUCUCCAAACUGUACUGCUGAUCCCAAAUUUUCUUCAGGCACAGGUGUUUCAGUGUCUGUUCCUGAAAACAUUCCUGCAUCUACUUUUAUAUAUAUAUGAUUCUUUCAAGAGAUCCAGAUCUAGGACAGGAAGUUGAAGAGUGAUAAAGCUAUUAGAUUCACUAGACAGAGAAUUUGAAUCAGUACAAGAUAGCUGUAAAAGUAACAGACUUGGACAACGAUGCCAUCCCUGACCCCCUCAGACAGAGAAGUGGUACUGCUCAGGUGACCAUCAAUGUUCUGACGAAACUGUGAACCCAGAAAAUAACACAGGAAGCAACCUAGGAAGAGCUUUGAAAGACGGGAAGAAUAUAUUCUUUUUUGGAACCCCAGGAUUUGAGGAACAAUAUAUUGGCAUAGCACCUCAUGUCUUCCCACCCAACAGGAGAAGAAUAUGAAUGAUGAGCCUCCUGUAUGCAAUCCACCACAUUUGGAAACUCAAAUUUAUUCCACUGUUAAGAGUCCUUUCAUUCAGCUCAACUGUUCAGACAAAGAUUCUUCACAGGAACAUCUGAGCUAUUCAAUUGUAGGAGUGACAGGAAUACAAUAACUAUUUGACAGCAAGGCAGGAGAAGUCAAGAUGUUGAACAAUUAAGAAAAGAAUGUGAUGCCAAUGGGAGACAUUUGACUUUAACCAGCAUAAAGGUCACCAUAUCUUCAUGUCACUUGCUUUCUUUGAAAAGGUCUUUUAAAAUCACAGCUUUUAACAAUAAAACUAUAUCCAUUUUUUUCACAUAGCUGAAUAUUUUUAUGUAAUAUGUCACAUAUUUUGAUAGGUCUGGAUUUUACUGCUGCAAUUAUGCUAAGGUUUAUAUGCCAUAGAGAUGUGCUUGUUUUGGUUAAAACAUUUACAGUGCUAGACAAUCACCAAUAGAAAAUAAAUUGAGGAUUCCAACU